AUUGUAAUUAUGUUUGGGAGAUAGUGUUGGGGACAAUAUUUGAUGCAUAAUGAUUUCUGAGAUUAGAUGAUUCAGCUAUGAAAUUGCAAUACAUUGACAUUCACUUUCUCUUUUCAGGUGGCCUGAAAACAUCUGGCAGUGGACAAUGUGGCUCGCUAACACAAGGCAGUGAACAGUGUAUGGUUUGAACAGCUUUAAAUGGCAGUGAGCAGUGUUAUGGUUUGAACAGCUUUAAGUAAUUAUACCUCUGUUUUACUAUUCAGUUUAGCUAUUUGUAAUGGCUUUAUUAUGAUAUUAGGAAUUACUGAAAAAUAAAUUUUAAUAGACCCAGGAAAAAUGGAAAAUGCUUAACAUAGGUAAUUGAAAUUCAUAUGCAAAAUUGAUAGAUCCACAUAUAACUUGAAGCACGUUCCUUAGAUCCAUCAGAUUUUUUUUUUGCCCACCAACUUACUGGUUGGUGGCCAUGUAUAUGUAC